GUGAAUCAUCAAAUUUUUGAACGCAAAUUGCACUCUCCUCGGAGAGGAUGCCUGUUUGAGGGUCAGCCUAAAAAAAAUCGACAUCGUUGCUGUUCCGCGGUGACGUUCGGCGGAAAUUGGGGUAUUGUAAACCUUUUGGUUUAAGCGACUUAAAAUUAGCCUUUUGUUUACAUUUACGUUUCUAAGAUUUAUUGCUUUACACGUUUAAGGUAUCGAUUUUUAUGAGACGUUGCCGUCAU
rnacentral:misc_RNA from 1 species